rnacentral:sRNA from 1 species
GCUGGGUGUGGUGGCUCACACCUGUAAUCCCAGCACUUGGGGAGGCAGAGGCAGGUGGAUCACCUGAGGUCAGGAGUUCGACAACAGCCUGGCCAACAUGGUGAAACAACAUCUCUACUAAAAAUACAAAAAAUUAGUCAUGGCCGGGUGCGGGGGCUCAUGCCUGUAAUCCCAGCUCUUUGGGAGGCCGAGGUGGGCAGAUCACUUGAGGCCAGGAGUUCGAGACCAGCCUGGCCAACAUGGUAAAACCCCGUCUCU